AAUACAGAUGGCUGAUAGUAGCAGUACGAGAUGGUGACUUAGUAAUAUAGAUGGAUGUCAAAUUAUGAACAGUUGUACAUCGAACUGAUGUUAUGUAUUUGCAUACAGUGAUUAAGUCGGACAUAAAAUGUUACAUGUGUAUUUGUUGCUAUCAUGAAAAAUAGUCACUAAUCUAUUAAAAAAAAGAUAAUUUAAUGUAUUAGUAUUUUAUACUUUUUUUAAAAUGAGUCAAAUAAAUUGAGAGCAGUUUGCUUAUAAUGCCAGUUGAAUUUUUUUCUAGCCUUAUUUAAGUUUACAAUAAUUUCGAGUCAGCGAUUGUAUGUUGCCAACAUACUUGGUAGCAUCGAAAGUUAGCUCUUUGAACUUAGCACCUCAAAAUUAAUUUUUUUUUAAUUUUGUUAUGAACAAAUCAAUUGUCCGUCCAAUGUCCGACAUAAUUUUUUAUAUGUCCGAUAAUUGUUUAUUUUUAAAAAGUUAAACGAAGUUUCGUUCUUAAAUUGGCACUCACUCUCGCUAAUCGAAUGGUUUUUUUUUAAUUUGAUAGAUUAAUUUUUUUUUAUUGACGGUCCGAUUGAUAAUAUUAUUUAUCCAAUUGUUUUUCUAUUUUAAAUUAAUUUUUUAGUGGAAUACAUUUUUAAUUACUAAUUAUCAUUGUGCAUGCGCAAAAGUAAAACAGCUUUGAGACAACCGCCAUAUUUGUUUAUACCCAUUAAUUUAACAGUGUGAUUGUACUCCAAUAUCGGAGUAGUUAUACAUAGUUAGAUAAAUAUAAAUUUGUUAUUUGUUUAUCAACAAGUAGAAGCAAAAAGUGAGAGUUAAAUUGUAUUGAAUAAAAAUACCUUUUUAAGUAAGGUAAAAGCCGUGAAACUACCAUGUCUUUGAGACUUUGGAAGGGCUACAUAAUUCUCUGCAGUAUUCGUCUACCUUCCAAAUUCUUGGUUAAUUUGGUUGGAUUGACGAUGAUUUUGGAUCCAUACUCCAUCGUCAAGUCUCCAUUGAAAAAAAAAAAAAAAAAAAAAAAAAACGCCAGAUAUAUUUUUAUUAAAUACGAAAAUAUUCAUCGAAAUUUUUGAGAAAUUAUUCAAGGUACCAUGCCAUCAAAUACGAACAGCGGCUUGAAGCGUCCAACUCCAAUAAAAGCGCCCAGUCCUGUAGCACUAAACGCCAUCGCUGACGGGUUCUGGAUCUUCUCUACCUGAUCUUAUGUCCAAACCUAUGUUCGGUUACGGAAGGAAUGAUAUCAGCAGCACACCAAGUUCUAUGAUUAAGUAUAACAGGUUAGCCAUUUUUUAUUAUUUUAAAUUUAUCAGUGAUGAUUUAUAUAUAAUUAAUGCAAGUUUUUUAAGCUGCUCGAGUAUACAAAUAACCAGCGGUUAAAUCGAAUCGUAGAAUGAUGCUGAACGCAAUUAAAUAUUAUGAUUUUUCUGGAAUAGUUAUUAAGAAGUUGAGAGACGUGUUCUAAAAGAAAUCGGACGUUGUGAGAGAAAACAUUUUUUAAUACUCUUGAGAGAUGCUGGGCGUCAGCUUCGCGCACUUUAUUCUUUUUUGUUCUGACUAGCAAGAAGUUACUAAACUAUAUAGUACUGGAUCUAAACAAGUUAUUGAUCAUAUGUUUGAUAAAUUUUCAUUUUAUCUAUAUAAGUCAACAAUCCGGUUUACAUUUUGAAGAUGAACAGAAAAACAAGAACGUAAACAGAAUAAGGACAUUUAAUUUAUAAUUUUUUGAAAAUAAUAAUUAAGUAUUGUAUGAGGCUUGAUGCCAAUUAAAUUAAAAGUGUGGAUGAAAUAAAAAACAAAUAAUUGUAAUUUAAAUUUAAUUUAGAUUUUUUCGGGAUUAAUAAUUAAUUACUGUAUGAGGUAUGAGGUCAAUGAAAUUUAAAAAAUUAAAAAAAAAUAAUUGUAAUUUAAAUAUAAUUUAAAACUUUUCGAAAAUAAUAAUUAAUUAUUGUGUGGCUUGAGACCAAUUACAUUUAAAGUUUGGAUGGAAUAAAAAAAAUUGUGAUUUAAAUUUAAUUUAGAAUUUUUCGAAAAUAAUAAUUAAUUAUUGUAUGAGGCCUGAGAGGAAAUAAAUUUAAAGUGUGGAAAGAAUAAAAAAAAAUUAGUUGUAAUUAAAAUUUAAUUUCAAAAUUGUCGGCAUUAUUAAUAAAUUAUUGUAUCCAUACAAUAAUUAAUUAUUAUUUUCAAAAAAUUCUACAUUAAAUUUAAAUUACAAUUAUUUUUUUUUUAAAUCCAUCCACACUCUAAAUUUAAUUGGCCUCAAGCUUCAUACAAUACUUAUAUAUUAUUGUUAAAAAGUUCUAAAUUAAAUUUCAAUUACUACUAAUUUUUAGUAGAUUUCAUAGAAAUCUAUCUCUUGCAUUUGUCCUCAUGGUGGAAUUUUCAAACAAUUUUGCCAUAAUCUGUCAUAAUUCAUCGAGUAGGUUCCAAAAUUUCCUUUGGUUUAAAAGUUUAUAUAUAUAUAUAUAUAUAUAUAUAUAUAUAUAUAUAUAUAUAUAUAUAUAUAUAUAUAUAUAUAUAUAUAUAUAUAUGUGUGUGUGUGUGUGUGUGUAAUAUAACGCGCCAUGUUGCGACGAUAGCGGCUACAAUUUUUAACGAAUCUUAAUGAAACUUGGCACACUUAUUCUAUGAACGAGUAUCACGGUUAAGUUCGAAAAUGGGCAAAAUCGGUCAACUCGUUUAAAAAUAGUGGAUAUUUGAAAUUUAAAAAAUAAUGAAAAAUCCUACUUUUUCGGCUUUUUUCGUAAAUAACUUUUUAACGGGUAUAUCUAUCCUUAUUAUAUAAAAAGAACAUGAUAGCCGAUAAGAAAAGCUAUAUUUACCUUUUUUUAUUUUUUGUUUUACGAUAAUUGUUCCACUUUUAAUAAGGGUUCCAAGUCACAUAAUUGACUCAUGUGUAAUUGUGAUAAUGCCAUUGUUUAUAUCUUUGAAAAUUUUUGAUGAAUGAUUAUUAAAUUGUAUAUAUAUAGAAAUCUACUUCCAUUUCGGAUGCCAAAUGACCUUUUUUUACUCUGUCCACACUUUAAAUUUAAUUGGCCUCAGGCCUUAUACAAUAACUAAUUAUUAUUUACGAAAAAUUCUAAAUUUGUUAGAUAUUUAGAACAGUUUUUUGCACGACUCAUGAUGCGAAGCAUCAGAGAGUGCUUUACGAUCGAAAAAUUUUUUUCGCCUCAUUUUGGCAGCUAUUUUAUUAUUAUAGCCUUGUUAGUUCACGGAAUCAAGAUAUUUUGCAUACUAUUGUCGAGAUAAUUUAAUGGAGAUUAAUUCCAUACUUUUUAAAAAUUGAUUUACUGCAAUAGAAUCGGAAAAAAACACCAAAAUAGGUCAAAAAAUUUUCCUGUUCGUCAUGUAUGAAACCCUGGAAACACUGUAACUUGUGAAAAAAUCCAUUAUUUGAGUUAAAUUUUUUUUUAAAAAAUUCUAAUCGACGAUUGUAGGUCACUGAAUGCGAAUGAUUAAUUAAUUCAGUGUCGUUUAAUUACAAUUAAUAAAAAACAAAAACUACAAGACUGUAUAUCUAUAUAUAUCCAUGUAAAAUUAACAUGGAUGGUGAUAUACAAUACUGGCUAAUAAUUCUUGAGGGGUAGCAUAGAAUCGGUAAAAAAAAAAUGUCUCAAAAUAAAAAUGUAUAUGACUACUUUCAUACAAAUGUAAAAAUAUAAAAAUAAAAAGUUGUAAAAAAAAUUCAAUAAUUAAAAAUAUAUGUAUAUUAAUAAAAUGUAAAAUUAUAAAUAUGUAUUGUAAAAUAAGUGAAUAAAAAAAAAUCCCUAUAAAAAAUGGCUCUAUAUUUGAAAAUCACUAAUAAAAAUAUUGUUAUGUCCUGGGAGGUUACUAGGAUCGGAGCUGACGCCACCUCCUGGACAGUGGGCAGUUCGUUGUCACGCGGGACCAAAUUUUGAAUUUGAAAACAGUGGAUAAAUUUAUUGUUUACUACGAUGAUGAUGAUUAUGAUUGUUAUUUAAUGAAAUAAUUAAACUAUGAUUAAGGAUAGAUGUAAUUGAUAAAAUAACAUUUAUCUGAAGACUGAAUUUUAUUAUAAAGUAUGGAUAAAACUUGAUCAGUAAUAACAGUUGUAUUCGUAAAGAGUUCUCGGAGAGAAGUGAAGUUACAUCAGACGGCAGAGAGAUCUCGGACCUUCACUCUCCAACUUCUCCCCACUACUCUCAUGUUCACACUCAUGCUUAUAUGUAUAUAUUCUUAUAUAUCUAUGUUCUUUACUAAAUAUUAUACUUAUACAUUUAUACUUUCUACUAAUUCAAAUUUGGGAUAUAAGCUUACACAUAUACGUUCUUCACUUUAUCCAUUCUACAACUUCUUAUUACUUAUUCUAUUUAUAUGUACUUAGAUACAAUCUUCCAGUUAAAUAUUCUAGGCUAUCAGAGGUGUAUUUCUCCAUAAUUAUUCUAUAUUUAAUUAUUUAGUACGAUUGACAUUACUAUUUAUUGUGAAACAUUAUUAUAAUCAAUAUAAUGCUAUAUUUCUAUAUUUUCUUUAAUUUAUUUAUUAUACGCGUCACUCUUUAUUUAAUAUUAACAGUAAUAGUUAAAUUCUGGUGAGACAUGGUUUUCAUUAGUAAGUAACAUUUAUUAAUUAUAUAUUUUCUUUUCUUACUUGUUGAUAGAAUAUGUAUUUGUUUAUAACCAUAUUGACGGUUAACUUUAGAACAAGGACCUAUUCAUGAUUUUUAUGCGUAUGUUUUGUUUAGGUUUUAAGUAUCGGAUGACAGGAAACGUUCCAAGACCACUCAACCUGUAUUUAUAUUUCUCUGAAUACAAAAUAAAGGUUUAUCUAUCUAUUUAUUUAAACUUUCUUAUAAUAAAAAUAUAUAAUUUAAUGAGUAUGUGCCACGACGAUUUAUCAUUUAAAUUAUUGACUCAAUAUUGUUAAGACGCAAUAAGUGUUUUAAGAAAUUAAUAUAUAAUUUCAAAUGGAAUUCAAAUGCGCGCUUCUUAUAUAUCUCAAGUUUACUAAUUAAUUAACAGGUGGAGGCACCUGAGGCUGUUGAGGACAUAACACCUCCCCCGUUAAUGAAAAUUCGACAUAUCGUUCGUCGAAUUUUUCUCUCAUAUAUACACAUGUAUAUAACGAUAUAUAAUAAUAGCUAAAGCUAAUUCUGAAUGAAAUAUAAAUUCUGCAAGACAAUUACCUAUAUAAAUAAUACCAUUACUGGUUGUUAAAUCGUGGUCGCACAUUUACAUUACAAGUUACAAAAAUAAUCAUUUUCAUGAUUUAAAACUAACAGUAAAUAUUAACUCAGGUUACGCACAAUAUUUAUAUUACACAAGAAUACAUAUUUUUUAAGGGUGAGCAGCACUAACCGGAUGUUCGAAUUUAUUUUUCUAAUUACGUUUGGAAUAAUUACGUCACUUAAAUGAUGAAAACCUUCAAAAAAAAAAGUUUAUCUUAAACAUUUUUCGGAAGCUAUAAAAUUUUUGUAAUAAGAAUUGAUCAAUAAAUUCAAAGAAAAGUAAAAUUUAAAAACUCGUUUAGUACGGCCCAGCCUUAUCAUUGAGGUCACGGUGUUUACAUUUUAGCAAGAGUUUAAUCCAGACUAUGAAGUAUUAUACGGAUCAACAAGGUAAUUUAAUUUUAUAGAGUCUUUUGACGAAUUUAAAGAAAAUUUGAUUAAAGUUAUACUCGGAAAUUCUUAUCACUUAUGUUAUAUUAUUCCAGAUAUAUUAAUUUCAACUUGUUUGUAUGUACGACUUGGUAUGUGGUGGGGUGAAUUAGGCGAGGACGUCCUCUCUGGCAUCUCAUGCAUGGGGGACUCAAACCCCCACACGACAUCCGAGCUCGGUACAACAACUGCUGGGUGGUCC